AGGGACAUACUGAAAUACAUUUUUGUAGUUAUCAGUCGUAUGCCUCGAGUGCUGCUGAUUAAGCUUUAUUUAACUCAGAGAACAUAUUUUUGUCCUGUAUUUUUUUAGUAUAGACAUAAAUUGUUGACACAGCACACAUAUCAUAUCUCAUUUACAGUAGCUGUAGAAUGAAUGGGGAUAGCAGAUCAAAUAAUUUUGUCUUGGGCGACUGAGAUGACUAACGUUACUGUUGAGAUUGAAGGUAUCUUACAUAUUCAGGCAGUUUGAGACAAAGCCUUUUACAGGAAUAUACAGCAAAGUCUCACUGAUCCAUCAAAAAGAAACAUUUAUGAUGUCUCAUUUAUGAUGGGAACCCCUUUUUCCCUCCGCAUUCUUCCCAUUCCCCGAAGUCACCAUUAGUUCCUCACAUGUUGUCAUGCGUUUCGAUGCAAUUUUGCUCAUCUUGGCUGACGUCUUAUACAGCUGCGGUUUUCUUUUAUAUCUCUCCUUAGACGUAUCAUGACCUAUUCUUCCACUCCCCGCCCCCAUCGCUCCCAAAAGACCGUCCAGCUGUUUUUUUUUUUCCAUAGAAACACACAUAUACACAAACGCUCACUCCGUAUCGUCUUUCUACACGUGUGUAAGGAGUCCGAAACUGACUUUAUGGCUCGAUACGUGCAGCUUUGCUGUGGUUAUUUUGAGAACGUUUGUGUCACGAAUUAUCUUUUUAGUGUGUUUACUUUAUCUGACUAAGCGGAUGUCAAGAGGGUGUAUUUAGUUUAUAUUGCCUUUGAUUGGGCUCCAAAUUCCCCAAGAAUCCCCCUUUGCCGCGAGGGCCUGUCUCGACAGAUAUGGCUGCGGAUGUGCUGAAAACACACACUUAAUGUAGAACAAUGGUUGCUAGGAUAGAUCUCUGUAAGUGUGCGUGUGUACGUCUUGGGUCGGGAGGUGGAAAACCUCUGCUCUGUUAUCUCUCAACAGAUGUGAGGAGCUCUUGAUGACAGGGAGAUGACGGUAAACCCAGUGCACUUUUAGCUCUGAACAAACAGCUUUAGCACCUUCCUUCUGUUUGCCUUUGCUUUUCUGAUCUCGAGGUUAAACGCAAGAGCGACCGAGAAGGAGGACGGAGAAGGUGAGGAGCCACUGACCCCAAACCACAGUGGCUUGUGGUCCUUUCAAGUGGAACUGGAGAAAGAAGCACAAAUAAAGACAUCUGUAAUGCACACCGGUGUAUAAACAGGAUGUUUUGACCUCAAACGCAAAUGCUUGGCCUCAUAACCUCUGUAAGGGAUAGUACCAGGCACCGAAAAGAAGACAGGCGAGAAAAUAAGGACAGCAGAUAUGCGCACAUGCUCUUGUUGUGAAUAUCAGUUUCAUAUUUUUCAGUUAGAUUCUUGUGGACAGAAUAUGAAUAGACAUGUCCAUGAUUCUAUGCACAGACUUGUAAAGCUUUAAAGAAAGACACGUUCGUAUAUUGCUCUAAGGAGAUUGUUGCUCAAACAGUAGAACAGUUACACAAAUAGUUCUGCUGGAUCAUCCCAAGUAUGGGCUUUUACUGGAAAAAGCAACGAGACGCAGCAGCUCACAGACCUUAUAUAACAACAGGAGCGAUCAAGAUAAUAACACACGGGAUAAGAAUCAGAAUGAAUCCAAAAAUACCACGAGGUGUCAAAAAGAGAGUUAUUAAGCAAUGAGAAUUAUGUAACUCAGACAAACCGCUAUAAUCAAUCAUGUGCAAUUUUAAAAAUGUGGGCAGUUGCCAACUAUUAUAUUUAUUUAUUUAGUAGCCUGUUAUUUCACAUUUAUUAUUUGCUAUAAUAAAUAGUAAUUUUAGAUACUUUUAUUUAACAUUUAUUCACUUACUGUUUAGGUCGUCGGUUGGUUUUAUAUACAGACGUG